rnacentral:rRNA from 1 species
UACGGGGGGGGCAAGCGUUGUUCGGAAUUACUGGGCGUAAAGGGCUCGUAGGUGGCCAACUAAGUCAGACGUGAAAUCCCUCAGCUUAACUGGGGAACUGCGUCUGAUACUGGAUGGCUUGAGUUCGGGAGAGGGAUGCGGAAUUCCAGGUGUAGCGGUGAAAUGCGUAGAUAUGCGGAGGAACACCGAUGGCGAAGGCAAUCCCCUGGACCUGUACUGACGCUCAUGCACGAAAGCGUGGGGAGCAAACAGG